rnacentral:lncRNA from 1 species
UUUUUUUUUUCACCUGAGUGUCUCCUUUACUACUCACACAGGAUACUUCAUUUCUGAUACUCUCUUUACCUAAUGUGUGGAGGUUUUUCUCACACCAAGUAAUUCUCGGACACCUGUGAGGUGUCCAAAGACUCAACUCAGUUCUGACACUAUCUACCUGGAGAUAGCAUCAGAACCUCCAGGUACAGGCUCAGUCCUCCACAAGACUGGACUCCUCACACACACAAAUUUCAGAGGCCAGUCCCACACCCAGUUUAUCACUUGUGCUUCUGACCAAUCAGCUUAGAUUGGAGGUUCCAAUGACCCCUCCUGUGUUUGAUUAAUUUGUUAGAGCAGCUCACAAAACUCAGGGUAACAGUUAUUUAAAUUUACCAGCUUAUUAAAGGAUAUAAUAAAGCAUGCAGAUGAAUAGUCAGACAAAGAGGUAACAUAGAGCAAGUUUUGGGAGGGUCUAAAGGUCAGGAACUUCUGGCCCUGUGAAGUCGGGGUGCAUUAUCCUCUCGGUAUGGAUGUAUUCAACCAACUUGGAAGCUCUGUGAACCCUGUAUUAUGGGGAUAUUAUGGAAGCCUCCUUACAUAAAUGUGAUCAAUUAUUAAUUCCUUUCCAGCCUCUCUCCCCGCUCUGAAAGAUAGGGAAUGAAGAUGAAAAUUCCAAGCUUCUAAUCAUGGCUUAUACUCUCUAGUGACCAGCACUCACCCAGGAGCCAUUCAGGAGCCCACCUAGAGUCAUCACAUUAGAUUAAAAGAUAUUCCUGGUUCUCUUAUCACUUAGGAACUUACAAGGUUUAUAUGAGCUCUUAUCAGGGAUAGAGUCAAAAACAAAUAGAACAAGAGAUGUUCCCUGUGUUUUUAUCACUUAGGAAAUUACAAGGAUUUUAUAGGAGCUCUGUGCCAGAAACUGAGGUCAGAUAUCCAUGGAUAUUUUUUAUUAUUUCACAGGGCUAUGCAAAUGAUUUACUAAUUUCAAGAGGCAACAGGCAGGCGGAAAAAUAGGAUUUAUAGAACACAGACUUGGGCUUAAUUCUUGGGUCAAUCCCUACCAGUUUUGUGACAUUGACAGUUUAUUAACCUCUUUAAGCACUUGAUCUCUCAUCUAUAAAAUGGAGAUUUUAAUACAUACUCUGCAAGGUAUUAAAAAAAUACAAUGAAAUGACCUAAGUACAUAAUACAAUUCUUGGAACAUAAAAGAUUUUCAAAAAUAUGUUUAGUUCCCUAUUCCCACUAAUCAUUUUAUACAUGAUGCUUACAGUUUGUAUGCUUCAUCAUCACGCAGUACAAGAAUAUCUCAGAAUACCUUCAGUACUCUCACUGGGCUAAGUUAGAUUAUUUUGUUCAUAAUAUGCCUGGAAUUCUUUUCACAUAUGUAAAGAUUUUAGAGUUGGCUGCUAACAUGCUGUUAAUGCUAGAUCAUAACUUUAAACUACUUAAAGAGAGAGUUUAUGGACAUGAAAGGAAAACUCAUGGCAGGGCAAUGGCAGAAGGUACCUGGAGGCUCAAAAACUCUGUGACAGCUUCCCCAACCCCCACCAAGCUGGGCAGCGAAGGCCUAAUUCAUCCAUGCUUUGGGUCAGCUCUGGCACUAAGUAUCCAUGAAAAGGGACAGAUACCAAUGAGCAAAACUAUCAAUUGAAUGUGAAGUCUCAUGUUUCAGAACACAGACUGUUUUUAAGGCUUUGUUAGAAGGAUGCUUCCUUAAAUUUAUGAAAUGGCAAGAGAAUUUGCUUCUUCUUAGCUUACUUAGUAAGAGUGUCCAAAAUUUCUCUCCCUUAAACAACUAUGAAGAAUUUGUUGUUCUACUCUGUAGGUAAGAGAAUUAGUAGCAAGCUGAGUGAUUUAGAUUCUUAUGUAGAAAAUUCAAGAUUCAAUUGUCAAUCAUAGUAUUUGUUGAAACGCCAGCUGUUGCGAGAUGGAAAUGCUUAGUACUCUGUGACAGUGAAUGCACUCCUAAUAUCACCAAUGCUUUCUCUAUCCUUCUCUUUCCUUCCCAUCCUUCUGCUUUCCUUCUUUCCCUCAAACAUGAGAGGAAACCAUUGAGCAGAUUCUGGAACACGGCAAUAGUUCAUGACCACCACUCCUCUCUUUCCACUUCAGCAGGAUGGCUACACAGUCUUCAUUCUCCCCACUUUCUUUUUUGUGCCUUCGUAUUUUUUUCUGAUACAGAAGGAACAUAAAUAAGAGUUUGCUUGACCCAGGAGAGAAAUGCUCUGAUUCCUACCAUCCAGGGAGAUUCCAAGAGAUGUCCAGAAGAGAAGAGCUGCUUGAUGCUACUAGAUAGAUGAGGCCAUAGAUAGCCUCAGAAUUGCCAGAGUAUAGUGAAGAGAACUUAGGGAGGUCCUGUGACCCCCAUACAUGCUAUUUAUGCCUUCUGACCCUCUUCCUUUGAGUGGGGCCAGGGAGUAUGACUUGCUUCUGGCCAUUGAUACAGCAAAGGUGAUGGAAUGUCACUUUCAUAAUAACAUAAGAUUAAAACUAACAUCUUGUUAAGAGACUCUUUGCCUUGCUGGCUGUGAAGAAGCAAGGGGCCAUGUCUAAAGGCCUACUUUCAGUUGCUACAAGUAGCCUCCAAGAUGACAGUCAGUAAAACUGUCCAACAGUCACAAGGACAUGAAUGCUAUUAACAACCAAGUAAGCUUGGAAGUGGCUCCUUUUCUAGCUGAGCCUUGGCUUAGAUUACAGCCCUGGCUGACAAAUUGUGAGACUGGUAAACCCAAAUAAUGGGGCAAAACUCCUGAUUUAUGAUGGAAAACUUGACAUAAUAAACAUGUGUUGUUGUUUUAAGCCACAAAUUUGUAGCAACACUACAGCAAUAUAAUAUAGAGAACGCAAAUAGGAGGAAGUACUAAGACAGGGAGAAGAGACAAAAACGUCAGCUACAACUGGCUACCGAGAAGUAAGUAGGACCGAAGAUAUUUUG